rnacentral:rRNA from 1 species
UGGUGGAGUGAUUUGUCUGGUUAAUUCCGUUAACGAACGAGACCUCGACCUGCUAAAUAGAGCGAGGAAUCCUUGUGAUUCUUUCGGUACUUCUUAGAGGGACUGUUGGUGCUUAGCCAAUGGAAGUUCGAGGCAAUAACA